UUUCCUCGCCUGAGUCCUUCUGUGUUGAGAGCCCCGCCCCCUCGUCACGUCAUUAUCUGUUCCCGCCGCUCUGGGGCUUCGCUUCGCCUCGCGCGCGCGCAGACGCACUGGUCUCCCUGCUUUCUUGAGUUCAGUCCGCGCUCGGCGCGGGCCAGAUCCGGCCGCUUCACCCGUGUGGAGGCUGCGCUCGAGCUUUCCCUUGCCCCCGCGCCUCGAAGGAAGUUGUGCGGGUGGGUCGGAACUGAUUUUUCCUUCUUGUAGAAUUCGAGAGACCAUUCCCAGCCGGAAUCCGCUCACAUACCGUGAGCGCCGGGGCCUGGUGGGUGUGUGCGGGACGACCCCGGGGCAUUCUGGCGACACCGGGGCAUCACAUCCUUACAGGCUACGGGAGCGUCCCGGCCUCCUAGGAACCCUUUCGUUUGCAAAGCACUUUCCCGUCCUUUCUUUUACGAUCGGUGCGCACGACCGGCGGAGACCGGCGGGGGAGACCACGGCGCCCCUUCUUCGCUUCGGGGUCAGCGAGAGGGCCAGGCAGGCCUGGCAGAGCGCGGGCGACGUUGGAAGGCUAAGGCGGCGGCCGGCUAGACUUGAAGGCCCACACUCGGAAGCCAGAGCUCCGUGGCGUCCCGGUAGCUCGCCGUGAUCGUAUAGUGGUACUUCUUUCUAUUCCCACAACAAGAAACCCAUGGGGAGAUCCUACAGGACUGUCCCUGUCAUGAGGCCAAAAACUCAUUCCUGAGGAAGAAUGCAGGAGUCACCUUUCAGAAGCAAAGGUCUAAAUCAAUGGUUUCCAAACAUUAUUCUAGAACUGAUAAACAAGAAUUUUUCAUCAUGGAAUGAGAGAAAAUAAGCUCACCAACUGCUUCUACCAAGUCUGCUGUCUCUUCUGGCUCUCCUAUCAGAGCAACUGUUCUGACUUCCUGGGAGGAUGGUGGUAAGCCUGGCAGGGAUGGGUGGGCAUAGCAAGAUUGGUGGGUGGGUAUGAGCUGUACAAGUUCUCAGGAAGGAGGUCUGGAAGAACAUCUCAGUCUUGACUAUGUUACAUGUGAAUGCAAAUCCCAAGUGAAGAAUUUCAGGCAGCCCGUCCUUGGUAGGGGAUCCUUCCCAUCCUCUACUUUUUUUCUCUCAUUAGGGCCUGAAUCUGCUAUCUGCAGCUGAAGAAGCUAGAGCUUUUGUGUCCUCAAA